UAUCUAACCCUAUAAUACUAUUAUCAUAUACCAUGUUCUUACUUAAGUCUAUGUUCCUUAACAACAACAACAUAAAUAAAUAAAUAAAUAAUAGCUACGACAACAACAACAAUAAUAACAACAUAAAAAUUCAACAAUAACAACAACAACAACAACAUAUUAUUCGCCUUGAUUAAUAUAGUAAUAAUAAUCACCUUGAGGACAUGUUUGAGUACAUGUCAAUAACCUAUUAUCUUCAACUAGAACCACUUUGAUCAAAUCCAACUCUUUCAUCUA
rnacentral:lncRNA from 1 species